rnacentral:rRNA from 1 species
CAAUAGCGUAUAUUAAAGUUGUUGCAGUUAAAAAGCUCGUAGUUGGAUUUCUGGGAGGGUGCCGCCGUCCGGCGUGUCCGUGUGCAGUGGCGCCCUUCCAUCCUUCUGUUAGCGUCUCUUGGCAUUCAUUUGCGGGUGGCGGGCUCAGAUAUUUUACCUUGAGAAAAUUAGAGUGUUUCAGGCAGGCUAGGCCGGAAUACAUUAGCAUGGAAUAAUGGAAUAGGACUACGGUCUCUUUGUUGGUUUGAGGGACUGCAGUAAUGAUUAAUAGGGAUAGUUGGGGGCAUUAGUAUUUAAUUGUCAGAGGUGGAAUUCUCAGAUUUGUUAAAGACUAACUUAUGCGAAAGCAUUUGCCAAGGAUGUUUUCAUUAA